rnacentral:misc_RNA from 1 species
GAUGAAGAACGUAGCGAAAUGCGAUACGUAAUGUGAAUUGCAAAUUCAGUGAAUCAUCGAGUCUUUGAACGCACAUUGCGCCCCCUGGUAUUCCGGGGGGCAUGCCUGUCCGAGCGUCAUUGCUGCCCUCAAGCACGGCUUGUGUGUUGGGCCCCGUCCUCCGAUCCCGGGGGACGGGCCCGAAAGGCAGCGGCGGCACCGCGUCCGGUCCUCGAGCGUAUGGGGCUUUGUCUCCCGCUCUGUAGGCCCGGCCGGCGCUUGCCGAUCAACCCAAAUUUUUAUCCAGGUUGACCUCGGAUCAGGUAGGGAUACCCGCUGAACUUAAGCAUAUCAAUAAGCGGAGGA